rnacentral:lncRNA from 1 species
AUUCUAUUGUGGCAAUAAAUGAAUAUGGCAAGAAAUGAGCCUGGCAAGAAAUGAAUGACAAUGGCCCCUAGGUGGUGCUGAAUCAUCAUGGAAGUGGAGGCUGGACACUUGGCAUUUGCGGAGGUGACUUCCUUCUGGUUUGAAUUUCAAAUAAGAGCAGGACAGCUCCUUGGGAUGUCUGGGAAAAAAGACCAGGCAGAAAAGAGUCUUUUCACUAGGAGCGGGUGCAAAAUACUCUUGCCUGUGAGGCCUCUUCAGGUCUUCGGUUUGCUUUAGUUGGAAACAGGAAGCAGGGUCAGACCAACUUGUAUUCAUUUGCUGAGAGCUGUUGGAGCUGUGACUGAUUCUGACAGAUCAAAUACCAUUUAUAACACUCCUGUGGGGGACACUUUAACCGGGGAUGUUAGUGCUAGCCCCUCCAGAGACUAAGUAUGUUUGCGGGAUGUGAGGACCCCUGGAAUAUACAAAUAUGCAUGCUAAUGAAUUUUAACAAAAAUAACCCAUUAUUGUUUUCUGUGCAACACUGUGCAUUUCUCAGCUACACCUGUCCUUUCCAACCUCAAUUGCUGGGCAACCUAUUUUUCUUUCGGCAUCAGAAGCGAUAGCAUCUGGGAAGUGAAUCUGAUGAAUUCUGCCUGGCAACCAACAUCUUUCCAACUGCCAGAUCCUGGGUUUUCCUCUUCUCCUGUGUUAGAAAGCGUGAAGAAUAUAUGUU